AUUGAACGCUGGCGGCAUGCCUUACACAUGCAAGUCGAACGGUAACAGGUCUUCGGAUGCUGACGAGUGGCGAACGGGUGAGUAAUACAUCGGAACGUGCCUAGUAGUGGUGGAUAACUACUCGAAAGAGUGGCUAAUACCGCAUGAGAUCUACGGAUGAAAGCAGGGGAUCGCAAGACCUUGUGCUACUAGAGCGGCCGAUGGCAGAUUAGGUAGUUGGUGGGAUAAAGGCUUACCAAGCCGACGAUCUGUAGCUGGUCUGAGAGGACGAUCAGCCACACAGGGACUGAGAGACGGCCCAGACUCCUACGGGAGGCAGGAGGGGGGAAUGUUGGACAAUGGGCGCAAGCCUGAUCCAGCAAUGCCGCGUGCAGGAUGAAGGCCUUCGGGUUGUAAACUGCUUUUGUACGGAACGAAAAGCCCUGGGUUAAUACCCUGGGGUCAUGACGGUACCGUAAGAAUAAGCACCGGCUAACUACGUGCCAGCCGCCGCCGUAA
rnacentral:rRNA from 1 species